GACGAACGCUGGCGGCGUGCUUAACACAUGCAAGUCGAACGGAAAGGCCCUGCUUUUGUGGGGUGCUCGAGUGGCGAACGGGUGAGUAACACGUGAGUAACCUGCCCUUGACUUUGGGAUAACUUCAGGAAACUGGGGCUAAUACCGGAUAGGAGCUCCUGCUGCAUGGUGGGGGUUGGAAAGUUUCGGCGGUUGGGGAUGGACUCGCGGCUUAUCAGCUUGUUGGUGGGGUAGUGGCUUACCAAGGCUUUGACGGGUAGCCGGCCUGAGAGGGUGACCGGCCACAUUGGGACUGAGAUACGGCCCAGACUCCUACGGGAGGCAGCAGUGGGGAAUAUUGCACAAUGGGCGGAAGCCUGAUGCAGCAACGCCGCGUGCGGGAUGACGGCCUUCGGGUUGUAAACCGCUUUCGCCUGUGACAAAGCGUGAGUGACGGUAAUGGGUAAAGAAGCACCAGCUAACUACGUG
rnacentral:rRNA from 1 species